GACGAACGCUGGCGGCGUGCCUAAUACAUGCAAGUCGAACGAGAGCGACCGGUGCUUGCACUGGUCAAUCUAGUGGCGAACGGGUGAGUAACACGUGGGUAACCUGCCCAUCAGAGGGGGAUAACAUCCGGAAACGGAUGCUAAAACCGCAUAGGUCUUCGAACCGCAUGGUUUGAAGAGGAAAAGAGGCGCAAGCUUCUGCUGAUGGAUGGACCCGCGGUGCAUUAGCUAGUUGGUGAGGUAACGGCUCACCAAGGCCGUGAUGCAUAGCCGACCUGAGAGGGUGAUCGGCCACAUUGGGACUGAGACACGGCCCAAACUCCUACGGGAGGCAGCAGUAGGGAAUCUUCCGCAAUGGACGCAAGUCUGACGGAGCAACGCCGCGUGAGUGAAGAAGGUUUUCGGAUCGUAAAACUCUGUUGUUAGAGAAGAACAAGUGCUAGAGUAACUGUUAGCGCCUUGACGGUAUCUAACCAGAAAGCCACGGCGAACUACGU
rnacentral:rRNA from 1 species